CUGUGUGUUUAUUUCGAUCUCACUAGCUAACUUUUAUGCCACGAACCUCUUUAAUGAAACCAGUGCGAUGGACGCAUGGUGGAAAUUUCUAUGUCCCCCAGCUCACAAGCAACACCUGGAUGAUGUGCAAACAAUGUGAGGUUUGUGCUCACAACAAUCCUUGUCAGAGGAAAAAGCUCCCACCAGAAAUCCAAACUAUAGGAGGAGCACCUUUUGAAGACUUGGAAGUAGAUGUCACUGAACUGCCACGCUCACAGGGCUUUUGCAGAGAUAGGUCCCUGGAUUCACUACACCAGACUCACACCUGCAGCUGCAGACUGGUAGUGCCCUCCAGAUGCUGCUACGCCCUUGAAGCUGACCAUCCCGAAGAAAAAGGAGCACCGGAGAAGCUUGAGGAUCAGAAGGACAACAGCCCUGCUCCAGUCACUCCGGAAGCUGACAGGUCUAUGCACAGCCAAAGCUUGAGGAGACUACGGCCCUGUUUCAGCCACGCAGGAGGGACUGGCUGAUCAAUGCAUGGUGAAAGAUACACUUGCCACCAGGACUAAUUAACUCUUUCAACCUCUGAGGUAGUUCUUUUACUGUAAUGCAUUGCCACCCCUUGCUUCUAGAUAUAUACACAGUUCUCUGUUUGGUUUUUGCUACUGGUUUGAUAACAGUAACUCCUACUGACUGGACUCUGGGUAACAAAAUUUCACUUAUACUUUUUAUCUUGCUUAUAUAAGUUUUCUAAGAUU